AGUUAUCUGCAAUUUAUAUUUAAAAUACUUCAGACACCUGACGAAGCCCAGGUGGGAACUAGGUCAUGUGUUCUACUGAGAAACUGAAUGAUUAGUUAGUAGAGGAGUGUUAGAUGAAGAAGGUUGGAAGCUCUUCAGCAUGGGAACUUCCCUCAAUUUUUGUUUCAGCGUUUUGGAAAUGAUACCAAAAUGAAAAUUCAGAAUUGGAAUCUAGUUUACUGUUUGGAUUCACGUUUCCUUCAUGGAAAAAUAAAGAUGAAAACAGAAUGAAUAAAAAGAUAAAUAGGUAGGAUUACCUAUGUGUUAAGUUGUAGGGCCAUUGCUUACCAAUUAGCUUUAAAGUGAUCAUCCACAGUAUCAGAAUUUAACAUGGGAGAAUUCAGGGAUUGCAUACCACCAUAUAUUACAGUUGAGCCAAUUUGGUUGAUGAUAAAAGUGUCCACCACAGGGCUGCAAAUGAUAUUUGUCCGAGUCUCCAGUGGUAUUCCUUGAAUCUCAAGGUUGAUAACAUCAUCCCAGCUCUCAAAGUAAAAGGCAUGACUCUCCCACGUCUCCUUCCCAUAAUGCCUUUCCAUGGAGAAAACCUUAGAUCUUCGAGGUGUUGAAACAUUUACAGCAACAGUAUUAUUAGAACAUUCUUUGCUUCCUGGAGCAAGGGUGAAAGUGAGGACACUGUAACUGGAAUCAGCUUUAAAUGUCUGGUUGAUCUUUCCAUCCUGACCCAACUGCAAUCCAUGACCCUCCCCUGGUAAUGAUAAGUUCGAACCAGCAGUUACAUACCAGACCGAACCGCCGAAUGACCAUCCAGGUAUUUUAUUGAUUCCAUUUUGGAGCAAGAUUGGUUUGCUGGUGUUUGAGGUUAUAUUGGUCGGAGGAGAUUCAAAAUCUGGAUUCUGCAGGAGAUCUGUAACACAGUUGUUUUUUCGUUAAAGACCAGCAUUAUUCGAGAUGAACAGCUUGGUUCCAGAUAUGCUUACCUCCAGUUGAGAUUCCAACGAAGAGGAACAAGAGAAGCAUUGAAUUAGCCAUGAUCAGAGGAGAUGGAAGCUUGGAAAUGCAUUUCUUUUAUGGAUGGCAAGCUCAACCAGAAUUUGAACCAGCCAUAAGGUUGACUUGCUUUAGGAAGGUAUGCAAGCUACUUUCACAGCUUUGACUUUGAAUGAAUAAUGCAUUGCGUUUGUGUGCAAGAAAUUUCAAAAUUUUGUCAAUUGUUAUUAGAAUUACCGUAUAUAAGGAAUCAACGAUAUUUCCCCAUGUUGUCUAGUUACUUGGCGGCAAAGUAUGUAUGUGGGAUUAAGGUAUAGACCUGAUUUUAUCUCCAAAUGUACUAGAUUAUUCCUCAGGCUCGAUAAGAUAUUUUCUGGAAAAUAUUUUUCAAGAGAUUAA